ACCAUGUGGCGGUUUAUUAGCAUUCUUAGUGUUUCGGUGGUAGCUUACGGAUUUCUAUUGGAUAAAGAUCCACAACAAGCGCAAGGGCAAGCCCAAUAUUUAAGCGUUUCAACAUACAUGACUGACCAAACACAUAUAAAUCACGAGUUCGAGAAAUUACGAAGAGAACAGGAACUAACUAUGAACCUUCUUACUAAACAGCUUCAACAGAGGUUCACUGAAAUGCAGAGUCAAAUAUCCAAACAGUCUGCCGUAAACGAAUCUUGCUUAACAAAUACUGCAGCAUUGGAUAAAAAAUAUCUUGAGUUAGAAGAAAAUAACACUAGACUCACUGACAGUCUGAAAAGCUUGCAGUUAAAAUAUGAUAGUUUGAUUUCGGCGCUAACGAAUAAAACGUCAGAACUCAAAGGCAGUCUUCAUGAGUUACAGCAGCUGAAAAACAUUCAUCAUCUCCAGACAGUGAAUAAUUUACAACAAAAGGUACAAACUAUGGAAACAUUUGUUAAUUCACUGCGCAGUCAUGAGCAGGCUCGGAAUCAGGAUUUCCUUGCCUUGUAUAACCUAACAACACAUUCCCAAGACCAAUUUCAAAAUUCCAACUCAAAGAUGUCGGACAAAUUAGACAAUAUAACAGCCGUAUCACAAAUAAUGAUUUCUGAUUUAGAAAAACGAAUUUCGGACCAGUAAUAUGUUAUCGAUUCGCGUAUUUGCAAUUCUUCCGACCAAGCAAAAACUCAAAUAAACGGUUUAAAAAAACAGGUAACAGAUUAUGUCCAAGAAAGUCAAAGUGUUGAAAAGUGGCAAAAUGAUUCACUUGCUGCUGUGAAACAACAAAGCCACGAAAAUAGCAUAAGAGGUACAGUAUACAUUAUAAACAAGAAUGUGUCCAUAGUACACGGAUACACCACUCGUAUACUAUCAUUUUCUAUGUUCAGUGGACAUACGGACGAACGAACGCACAGACCAGAAAACAUAACGGCCAUAAAUGGGGCAUAAAAUUCAAAUGUUCCAGGCUUUUGAUUGAGUAUGCAAGACGUGCUUUUCGUCUACACAUGACUCACCAGUUGCACUGGAAUCAAAAAUAUUUGGAGUGUCAGUUACAUGUAUUGUAUGGUUGUAUGCAUACAGGAGCAUCAACAUUGUCUCAACAUAACUCCCUCUUAAUUCCAUGUUGAAUGAAAGCUACAACUUCAUUACAGUCUGGUUGUGUUAAUAUGAUUAUAAUAAAUAAGGGAAAACUUUAAUUGAAAAAGAAGGAGAUGUGGUGUGAUAGCCAUUGAGACAACUAUACACCAGAGACAAACGAACGUGGUUGUGAGAAAUUUAGGUCAAUAAGGCAACUAACGACAAUGAAACUUUAAAAUAUUUUUUAUUAGUUUAUCAUUGAGUCCAGAUCUUGUAUUGAGUUGGGUGCUUCUGUGUUGAAGGUUGGAAAUUUAGCAGGUUUUAAGACAACAAUUGCACUCUUCCUAUUAUAUCUGGAGUAUUUUCUUUUCUUUCAAAGAAUUGCGAUCUCAUGUGCUCCCAUGUCUUCUUCGUUUUCAAGUCAUGAAUUGAAGGAUUGUGGUCUUAUUUGCUCUCACCUCUUGUUCAUAUUCCACUCUGGAAUUGAAGGAUUAUAGUCGCAUGUGCAUCCACGUUUUACUCAUGUUCAACUAUGGAAAUGAAGGACUUUGUUCUCAUGCGCGCCCACGUCAUCUUCAUAUUCCACUCUGGAAUUAUAAGAAAGUUCUGGGAACAUACAAUCUCAAUCUCAGCUUAGGGAAACAUACGAUUAUAUCGCCAAGUUGUUAUUUUAAAGUGUAACUGUAUUUGUGAUCAUAAAGUUUUAUUUAAAAAAUAAAAAUUAAUUCCAAACUAAUGGUCACCACUUCAGUGAUCUUACGGUAGUGUGCUCGCUUUGCUUGCCAAAGAUUUUGGAUUCGAUACGCAGCCUAGUCAAUACGAGUUAACGAGCACGCUUUAAAGUAAGAGCAUAUACUAGUACUUUGCGGACUCGCUCACAAUAGCAAUUUGGAAAAUGUCAUUGAUUUGUUCUAUGGAACGAAACGCUCGAUUAGAUGUAUAACCUGCAAGCUUAGCAUGCAAGAUGACAGAUAGAAUGAAGACAAUUUAUACUACUUGUAUACAUAUGAUUGCGGGUGGUUAUUUAUCUGAUUAAGCGUUUAGUUCCAUACAAAAACUCAAAGUUCAAAUUUUAGAUAUUUCCCUAUUUACACGAAAAGAUUACACGAUACAUAACGGCAACAGUAGUAUACCGCUGUUCAAACUCAUAAAUCCAUGGACAAUUAAAAAACAAAAACGGGGUAACAAACUAAAACUGAGGGAAACGCAUUAAAUAUAAGAGGAGAACAACGACACAACACUACUAUGUACAGAAACACACACAGAAACCAUUCAUAUAGGAACUCGUUAGAGCUCGACGUUUUUCAUCUCGUAGUCUUUCAUGUGUUUUCUAUUUUACAUUUAUUGUGUCUAUGUUAUCAAUUAUAGUUGCUGGCUGAGCAUACGUUGAAUGUACGUUAAUUAUUUAUGACCCAAGAGGUAUAAAAUUCCCGAAUUCAGACUACUGGUUUACAAUCUUAAUGUGACCGUGAAACAAUUACAAAACAUCCGCAUUGAUAAAUGAACUACUGUUUAACCAAGCUUGAUAUAUCAUAGCAUAGUCUGACGUUUUCAUAACAAACGCUAAAAUUGUAAAAUGUGCAUGAUUAUAACGGCAAAAACAUUAUGAUCACAUUACCGAGCCUCAUUAGUUUCACUGAUGUUUUCAUAUGUUCAUAAUUUCAAUAUUAUAUUUUUGUAUUUCUUUCAGUUGCCCUUUCAGCAUGUGUUGUAUC
rnacentral:lncRNA from 1 species